rnacentral:piRNA from 1 species
UGGAAGAACUUUGAAGAUGGGUGAUUUCC